GAGGAAUAUUGGUCAAUGGACGAGAGUCUGAACCAGCCAAAUCGCGUGAAGGAAGACUGCCCUACGGGUUGUAAACUUCUUUUGUACAGGAAUAAAAGACAUUACGUGUAAUGUAUUGCAUGUACUGUACGAAUAAGCAUCGGCUAACUCCGUGCCAGCAGCCGCGGUAAUACGGAGGAUGCGAGCGUUAUCCGGAUUUAUUGGGUUUAAAGGGUGCGCAGGCGGGAUUUUAAGUCAGCGGUGAAAUUUUCAGGCUCAACCUGAACACUGCCGUUGAAACUGGGAUUCUUGAGUAUGGAUGAAGUAGGCGGAAUGUGUUGUGUAGCGGUGAAAUGCAUAGAUAUAACACAGAACCCCGAUUGCGAAGGCAGCUUACCGGGCUACAUCUGACGCUGAUGCACGAAAGCGUGGGGAUCAAACA
rnacentral:rRNA from 1 species